GAGCUCAAAAUUUCACAGUUGGUCUGGAGAGAUUUGUCUCUAUCCGCGGAGACCCAGACUUCUGCAAGAGGAGAGUAGGAGAUGGACUGUCUGUGAGUGUUUUCCGUGCUUCGACAGGACUCUAAAGCUGUAUCCUCGCUCAGCACAUCUCCAUCACGAUGAACUACUGGAGACAGGACAGGGGGAGAGUGAGAUAGAUAUAGGGAGGUAGAGGGAGAAAGAUAGGGUGGCUAGAAAAAGCUCUUUAUUUACCCUCUCAAAAUGUCAUUAAAAGCAAAAAAAAAUGUGUCUGUUCCUUGAAGGGGAGCUUUGCUGCUUCCUAAUUGCCCACUGUACCUGCAAAAUGUCCUGUCAGCCAGAUGUGUUGUCCAGAGCCAUUCUCAUUUCUUGGCCCUCUCUCUUUUUUUCAUUUUUUUCAAUACGUGGUCACAAAUGACAGGAAGGUCACAAAAUAUAUCUUUCUAUCUACUUAGCUGGGAAACUGUGAGCCACUCCUUAACAGACCUUUGGAAGAGUCACUGGGCAACUCAAUUAUAAGCAUUGGUGAAAAUGCCACAGCACUGGUGUCUUUGCAUUAAAUUGAUUUGUUCAGACAAUGCCAUGUAUCAUCCAUGAUGGAGAAAUGUGUUGAGGAUGAGCUGACUCAAUAGAAUGCCUCUUUGAUGAACAAUCACUUUGUUUUUGUGAGUGACACAUUCCAAAGGAAUACAAAAUACAUUUUGUGCACAAAUUUGUUUGCAUUUCUCUUUUAUCAAAAUAAACCAUCCACCUGA